AGGAUGUGGGAAGGGCCCUGUGGAAGCUACUAUCUUUAUACCUAUCCGGUCUCCUGAGGAUAGAGCUGCCCUGACGGUGGGAUUCUCUCUGCAUAAGACAGGACUAUUGCUGAACAAAGCAAGAUGGUAGAAUGUCAACAUAAGAACAAGCUGGGAUUUAUGUCCACAGUGUUGACCGCCGCUUGGCCCUUGCUUGGAUUUCGAUUUCACGUUGUAAAUUAUGCUUUUGAGUGUGUCCUGCUCCAGGAGUUAGGACCACCUUUCCAAGGGUGGCAUUAUCCAGAGUGGGCUUGGCCUUCUCACGUCAAUCAAUAUUCAAGGAAAUGCCUGACAAGCUUGCCUAGAAGCCAGUCUGGUGGAGAGAUUGUUUUGUUGUUGCAGUUGA